UACGUAGGGUGCGAGCGUUAAUCGGAAUUACUGGGCGUAAAGUGUGCGCAGGCGGCCAUGCAAGUCGGGUGUGAAAGCCCCGGGCUUAACUUGGGAAUUGCGCUCGAAACUACGUGGCUGGAGUGUGGCAGAGGAAGGUGGAAUUCCACGUGUAGCGGUGAAAUGCGUAGAGAUGUGGAGGAACACCAAUGGCGAAGGCAGCCUUCUGGGCCAACACUGACGCUCAUGCACGAAAGCGUGGGGAGCAAAC
rnacentral:rRNA from 1 species